AUAACUUAAUGAUUUGUUGUAUGCAUGGAAGUUGUGUGCUGCAGUUCAUUGGAAUGUAGUUAUUUUAAAACAUGAUCUUUAAAAUAUUUAAGUAUUCAAUGGACACAGCUGUAUUUCCUACAAAAGUUAAGUUAAAGAAGCUGCUACCAGUAAAUAUCUACUUAAUUAGUGGGAUUAAUUCCGGGGCACUUAAAGCUCAUGAAGUCUCUGUUGCGCGUGAUAUUACUGUAGCUUCUGUAGCUAUGUGCUACAGCAUGACAGGUGAUGCUAGUGCAAUAUCAGCAGCUCGUGCUCUUUACCAGCUGAAGACAAAAGCCAGCAUAACCCUCUUUUUCUCCCAAUCUGUAGAGAUCUGUGUGAUGAACUUUGUGUUGUUUACUUGGUAAAGUAUAUCUGUUUUCCAGUCUUGAGUGAAAGUUUUCAAGACUUGCAUAUUCAUAGUAGCAUAAACUCCUUUGUUAUUGCUGUAGAGACUAGAAUGGUUUUACCAUCUGCAUAAUGCUGCAAAGUUUUGGCCAAAUUAAUCUUAUUGAGUUAAAGCUGAGGCUUCUCUAAGGAGGAGAGUACUAAAGUCAUUUUCUUCUGGCUUUAUUAAUUUUAGUGAGAUGAAUGAACUCACUGAGGGGUAAGUGGUUUUGUCUGGUGAUGCAAUGCAAGAGCAGGCUGAUGGGAAGGCAGUACCAUACAGACCCAGGAAUGUAACAGAAUUUUAUAGUAGUUUAAUAGAAAUUUUGUCUUUUAUCUACAGUUCUACCCAACGUUCCUGUCUUCCAUUAUGAUACAGGCCUUAGGUGCAACUUUAAAGAAGACUUCUGACAAAAUAAUCUUUUGUCUAACAAAUUUUACAAGCUGUUUGCCUUACACUUACUGUUGUUCAUUUGCAGGAAAAAGGUACAGAUAUGCUUUAAAUCAGCUGACGUUGAAAAUGGUAUUGAACAGUUAGAUUCUAAUUUCCAAAGUGUGUUUUAGGAUUUUGAAUGCUCUCUUCUGUCAGAGAAUUUUAAAGAACAGCAGAAGUCUGAUACCUAAAAUCAUUUUGCUAGUCUAUGUAGAAUGACUAAUAACUACCUUGUCAUUUAUUCUGUAUAACUAGAGCUCUGACUUACUAAUAAUUGUACUCCUGUAGAUUUAUUCACAUUAUCUUACUGGUAUACUAGCACAUUUUGAUGCACGUCAUAUUACUGUAUUAUAUUACCUGUCUAUGGAUAUCCAG
rnacentral:lncRNA from 1 species